rnacentral:rRNA from 1 species
GACGAACGCUGGCGGCGUGCUUAACACAUGCAAGUCGAACGGAAAGGCCCUGCUUUUGUGGGGUGCUCGAGUGGCGAACGGGUGAGUAACACGUGAGUAACCUGCCCUUGACUUUGGGAUAACUUCAGGAAACUGGGGCUAAUACCGGAUAUGAGCUCCUGCUGCAUGUUGGGGGUUGGAAAGUUUCGGCGGUUGGGGAUGGACUCGCGGCUUAUCAGCUUGUUGGUGGGGUAGUGGCUUACCAAGGCUUUGACGGGUAGCCGGCCUGAGAGGGUUACCGGCGACAUUGGGACUGAGAUACGGCCCAGACUCCUACGGGAGGCAGCAGUGGGGAAUAUUGCACAAUGGGCGGAAGCCUGAUGCAGCAACGCCGCGUGCGGGAUGACGGCCUUCGGGUUGUAAACCGCUUUCGCAUGUGACGAAGAGUGAGUGACGGUAAUGGGUAAAGAAGCACCGGCUAACUACGUG